AUUGAACGCUGGCGGCAUGCUUUACACAUGCAAGUCGAACGGUAACAGGGUGCUUGCCCCGCUGCCGAGUGGCGAACGGGUGAGUAAUGCAUCGGAAUGUACCGUGUAAUGGGGGAUAGCUCGGCGAAAGCCGGAUUAAUACCGCAUACGCCCUGAGGGGGAAAGUGGGGGACCGAAAGGCCUCACGUUAUACGAGCAGCCGAUGUCUGAUUAGCUAGUUGGUGAGGUAAAGGCUCACCAAGGCGUCGAUCAGUAGCGGGUCUGAGAGGAUGAUCCGCCAAACUGGGACUGAGACACGGCCCAGACUCCUACGGGAGGCAGCAGUGGGGAAUUUUGGACAAUGGGCGCAAGCCUGAUCCAGCCAUGCCGCGUGUCUGAAGAAGGCCUUCGGGUUGUAAAGGACUUUUGUCCGGGAGCAAAUCCUAGUGGUUAAUACCUACUGGGGCUGAGAGUACCGGAAGAAUAAGCACCGGCUAACUACGUG
rnacentral:rRNA from 1 species